UCCUUCGGGACGAGUAAAGUGGCGCACGGGUGAGUAACGCGUGGAUAAUCUACCCUUAAGAUGGGGAUAACGGCUGGAAACGGUCGCUAAUACCGAAUACGCUCCCGAUUUUAUCGUUGGGGGGAAAGAUGGCCUCUGCUUGCAAGCUAUCGCUUAAGGAUGAGUCCGCGUCCCAUUAGCUAGUUGGCGGGGUAACGGCCCACCAAGGCGACGAUGGGUAGCCGGUCUGAGAGGAUGACCGGCCACACUGGAACUGGAACACGGUCCAGACUCCUACGGGAGGCAGCAGUGGGGAAUAUUGCGCAAUGGGCGAAAGCCUGACGCAGCGACGCCGCGUGAGGGAUGAAGGUUCUCGGAUCGUAAACCUCUGUCAGGGGGGAAGAAACCCCCUCGUGUGAAUAAUGCGAGGGCUUGACGGUACCCCCAAAGGAAGCACCGGCUAACUCCGUGCCAGCAGCCGCGGUAAUACGGAGGGUGCAAGCGUUAAUCGGAAUCACUGGGCGUAAAGCGCACGUAGGCGGCUUGGUAAGUCAGGGGUGAAAUCCCACAGCCCAACUGUGGAACUGCCUUUGAUACUGCCAGGCUUGAGUACCGGAGAGGGUGGCGGAAUUCCAGGUGUAGGAGUGAAAAUCCGUAGAUAUCUGGAGGAACACCGGUGGCGAAGGCGGCCACCUGGACGGUAACUGACGCUGAGGUGCGAAAAGCGUGGGUAGCAAACAGGAUUAGAUACCCUGGUAGUCCACGCUGUAAACGAUGGGUGCUGGG
rnacentral:rRNA from 1 species